ACUUAUUCUCAGGGCGGGGUGCAAUUCCCCACCGGCGGUCAGCCGGCCCGCGGUGAUCAGCUCCGCGCCGGCACAGCCCGCGAGCGCCUGCCGUGGCGGCAGGGUCAGCAGAUCCGGUGCAAUUCCGGAGCCGACGGUCAUAGUCCGGAUGAAAGAGGAUAAGG
rnacentral:ncRNA from 2 species